rnacentral:tRNA from 1 species
GACAGCAUGGCCAGUGGUUAAGGCGACAGUUUUGAAUGCCCAACAAGGUUGGAAAACAUCAGCUGUUUCACUAUGUGAGCGUGAGUUCAAACCUCACUGCUGUCG